GCCUGGCUGGCUCAGUUAGAAGAGCAUGUGAUUCUUGAUCUUGGGGUUGUGGGUUCAAGCCCUACAUUGGGUA
rnacentral:tRNA from 1 species